GACGAACGCUGGCGGCGUGCUUAACACAUGCAAGUCGAACGGAAAGGCCCUGCUUUUGUGGGGUGCUCGAGUGGCGAACGGGUGAGUAACACGUGAGUAACCUGCACUUGACUUUGGGAUAACAUCAGGAAACUGGGGCUAAUACCGGAUAGGAGCUCCUGCUGCAUGGUGGGGGUUGGAAAGUUUCGGCGGUUGGGGAUGGACUCGCGGCUUAUCAGCUUGUUUGUGAGGUAGUGGCUUACCAAGGCUUUGCAGGGUAGCCGGCCUGAGAGGGUGACCGGCGACAUGGGGACUGAGGUACGGCGCAGACUCCAACGGGAGGCAGCAGUGGGGAAUAUUACACAAUGGGCGGACGCCUGAUGCAGCAACGCCGCGUGCGGGAUGACGGCCUUCGGGUUGUAAACCGCUUUCGCCUGUGACGAAGCGUGAGUGACGGUAAUGGGUAAAGAAGCACCGGCUAACUACGUG
rnacentral:rRNA from 1 species